UAGGGAAUCUUCCACAAUGGGCGAAGGCCUGAUGGAGCAACGCCGCGUGUGUGAUGAAGGGUUUCGGCUCGUAAAACACUGUUGUAAGAGAAGAAUGACAUUGAGAGUAACUGUUCAAUGUGUGACGGUAUCUUACCAGAAAAGAACGGCUAAAUACGUGCCAGG
rnacentral:rRNA from 1 species